CCUACGGGAGGCAGCAGUGGGGAAUUUUGGACAAUGGGCGAAAGCCUGAUCCAGCCAUGCCGCGUGCAGGAUGAAGGCCUUCGGGUUGUAAACUGCUUUUGUACGGAACGAAAAGCCUCUUUCUAAUAAAGAGGGGUCAUGACGGUACCGUAAGAAUAAGCACCGGCUAACUACGUGCCAGCAGCCGCGGUAAUACGUAGGGUGCGAGCGUUAAUCGGAAUUACUGGGCGUAAAGCGUGCGCAGGCGGUUAUAUAAGACAGUUGUGAAAUCCCCGGGCUCAACCUGGGAACUGCAUCUGUGACUGUAUAGCUAGAGUACGGUAGAGGGGGAUGGAAUUCCGCGUGUAGCAGUGAAAUGCGUAGAUAUGCGGAGGAACACCGAUGGCGAAGGCAAUCCCCUGGACCUGUACUGACGCUCAUGCACGAAAGCGUGGGGAGCAAACAGGAUUAGAUACCCUGGUAGUCCACGCCCUAAACGAUGUCAACUGGUUGUUGGGAAUUCACUUUCUCAGUAACGAAGCUAACGCGUGAAGUUGACCGCCUGGGGAGUACGGCCGCAAGGUUGAAACGUUAAAGGAAUUGACGG
rnacentral:rRNA from 1 species